GAUGAACGCUGGCGGCGUGCCUAAUACAUGCAAGUAGAACGCUGAAGCUUGGUGCUUGCACCGAGCGGAUGAGUUGCGAACGGGUGAGUAACGCGUAGGUAACCUGCCUGGUAGCGGGGGAUAACUAUUGGAAACGAUAGCUAAUACCGCAUAACAGUAGAUAUUGCAUGAUAUCUGCUUGAAAGGUGCAAAUGCAUCACUACCAGAUGGACCUGCGUUGUAUUAGCUAGUUGGUGAGGUAACGGCUCACCAAGGCGACGAUACAUAGCCGACCUGAGAGGGUGAUCGGCCACACUGGGACUGAGACACGGCCCAGACUCCUACGGGAGGCAGCAGUAGGGAAUCUUCGGCAAUGGGGGGAACCCUGACCGAGCAACGCCGCGUGAGUGAAGAAGGGUUUCGGAUCGUAAAGCUCUGUUGUAAGAGAAGAACGAGUGUGAGAGUGGAAAGUUCACACUGUGACGGUAUCUUACCAGAAAGGGACGGCUAACUACGUG
rnacentral:rRNA from 1 species